GCCUACACCUUCUCCUUCAGUUCAACCUCCACGAACUUGGAGACGAUCACCGAUCACCGGCACAGCAGCCGACUUCCCAGAAUCACCCCAACUCUGGGCUGUGUGAAGACCUGUGUUAGGAUUCUCAGAACCCAUGCCAAGAAACCGGAGGCAGAGCCUGAAAAAUUCCCAAAAGCCCCUGAGCCAGCUCACCUGGUGCACACAGCCAGAGACAAGAGAUCCUGCCACAGCCAUGGUGGAAAACAAGGGCUGCUGCACAAGGUGCUCCUCUGAACUGCACAUACCAGAUAUGUGUACCUGCAUUUGCAAAUGUGAACACACGCCCCUCUUGCAUACAUACACAUGCAUGCAUACACACACACACAAGAUAAAAAUAAAUGAUAAUAAAUGAAUAAAACAUUGUUAUAAAAAACACCUGAGA
rnacentral:lncRNA from 1 species